rnacentral:lncRNA from 1 species
AUUUCAACAAUCUUAUCAUUAUCUCCUAACCCAAUAGAUGUAAUCAAUCCCAAUGAAUCUUCCAGUCCAUUUUCUUCAUAAACACCUAAAAUCCUCUCAUCAUCUUGCAAUGUACCUAACUUGCGUAAUUGUCCUUCAAUAUCAUAUAAUCUUUUUUUUUCUUUUCUUUUAAAAUCAUCAACUUUCUUAUACAUAAUAUUUCUAUUCUCCAAUAUACCAAUAAAACUCGCAUCAAAGGCACCUUCAUCUCGCGAGAGUACCUCCUCUUUUGUAC